rnacentral:tRNA from 1 species
GGGGUGAUAGCUUAAUCGGUAGAGCAUCGCUUUUGCAAGGCGAGGGUUACAGGUUCGAUUCCUGUUCAUUCCA